UUCUGUCAGACAGCAGAAUGAACUUCACCAGAGCGAAAGCAAAAAUCCAACGGUCGCCGAUAUGACAGACAGCAGAUGCUCGCUCAUGCAAAAGUCAAUCGUUUCGUCAGUCUAGAUUCACUUGUCCCGUGGUUCGGUUCGGCGUGCGUUUUGUGUGACUGAUAAGGUUUCCAUAUUAUCAUCAUCGCUAGUGUGUGCGGCAACCGCGAAUAGAAGAAGAUUACGGUGUGGAAUAUCGCGUGACUGUCGAAAAGCAGAGUGCCGAAUUCGUUUUGGGUGUAUUUGAUUUGAGCCGAGUGCAAUUAUUUUUAGCUUGCAAAAUUUCGGCUUUAGUUCAGGAGACGGAAUUUGCUCUGCCGGUUUUGGGUGGGAUUUAAGUAUAGUGUUCUGAAACCUGCGGGACCAGUGGUGAAAGGCUCACUCCUGCAUUACUAAGUGCAAUUGCACUAUAGUAAUCGUCAUCGAGACAGUGCUCUUGGUGCAAAUGUUGCAAAUUGUGACGGAAGUUUCCGUGCAGUGAAUUUUGAUUGAAUUUGGUUGAAAAAAAGGCCAAAGAAGUUCGCAGCUUGCUGUGACUGCGUGGAAGUUUCGUGCGAAACAGUAUCCAAAAGAGAAAGUAAGAGAAGAAAAUAAAAGAAGAAUCAUCGCUUGAAACAGCGAAAAAUCGUACGAUUCGCCACAUAAACACUUUUGUGUGUGAAUCUCUCGCUCUGUGGUCUGUUUGUAAUAGCAAGAGCGAAAGGGAGGGCAUAACAAACUGUAUGCUAUCGGGGCGACAACUCCCUGCUCCGUUGUUUAUACUGAUAUUGUGUUGACUAAUCGCGGGUGUGUUGUUUGUGCAUCGGGUCCCCCAUACUCCUUCCGGUACGUGAAUGCCUUCUAGUCAAGGUUACCGUAAGGUAGCAUCCGAGCCGGCCGAUUCGGAGCUUGAGAUUAGCCGGAACGCCUCCUCAAACGACACAGCAACAAUGCCCAAUCAACAGAAAUCGGUGGCCGAGCCACAGACUGUAGUGACCGGCAAUCCUGCGGGAAAGAUUCCGGCCACCAAUUCCCAACAGAGGCUAAUGCCACCCGAUUCGGACAGUGUUUCCUCCUCGAUUGAUGAGGAUCAAGAAGCGACACAUGGCGGGGGCGAUGGAGGCGGUGGCGGGCUUCGACACUUACCACCGGGCCAUCACGACGAAGACGAUGGAUCGGUGAUAGUCAGCAGCACCGGCACCGGAAGGGUUUCCCGGACGGCAUGGUUCACCGUGAUAGUGCUGUGCUUUGUCAAUCUCAUCAACUACAUGGAUCGGUUUACGAUUGCAGGUGUGCUAAAAGACAUUCAAGACCAGUUCCAAAUCGGCGAUGACGAGGGCGGUCUGCUGCAGACGGCAUUCGUGCUGUCCUACAUGAUUUGCGCCCCAAUUUUCGGCUACCUGGGCGAUCGUUACUCGCGCAAGUGGAUCAUGGCGCUGGGGGUGCUUCUGUGGAGCACGACAACGCUGCUCGGUUCCUUCAUGACCAGUUUCGGGUGGUUCAUCACAUUCCGUGCCAUGGUGGGCAUUGGCGAGGCAUCGUACAGUACGAUCGCACCGACGAUCAUCUCCGAUCUGUUCGUUGGAGAUUUGCGUUCGAAAAUGUUGGCUUUGUUCUACUUUGCCAUUCCAGUGGGAUCGGGAUUGGGAUACAUUGUUGGCUCGGAAACGGCUAAGUUCUUCGGUUCGUGGGCUUUUGCCCUUCGUGUUACUCCUAUUCUGGGCAUCAUUGCAGUCGCAUUGAUUGCGUUGAUUCGUGAUCCUGAACGAGGACAAAGUGAAGGAUCUCAUCACAUGGAAGCCACCUCCUAUCGGGAAGACAUCAAGGAUAUUGUGCGGAAUCCAUCGUUUAUGCUAUCAACUGCCGGUUUUACUUGUGUUGCAUUCGUCGCUGGCGCUCUGGCCUGGUGGGGACCAAAGUUCAUCUAUCUAGGAUUGGUUUCCCAACCGGGCAACGAAAACAUCACCCUCAACGACGUAUCGUAUAAGUUCGGAAUUAUAGCGAUGCUAGCGGGGUUGAUCGGUGUUCCAUCAGGAUCCUACAUGGCGAGAAAGCUACGUCCCCUGUAUCCAUCGUGUGAUCCGAUGAUCUGCGCUGCAGGAUUGUUCUGCAGUUCACCUCUCAUCUACCUGGCCUUGGUAGUAACGAAAUACAGCGGAGCUUGGUGCUUUUUCCUAGUUUUCUUCGCUGAAGUUUCCCUGAACCUGACCUGGUCGAUUGUUGCCGACAUACUGCUGUACGUAGUUGUGCCUACACGGAGGUCCACAGCGGAAGCCUUCCAGAUUUUGAUCUCACACGCCUUCGGUGAUGCAGGAAGUCCAUACUUUGUUGGAGUGAUUUCUGAAGCUAUCAAGCGAUUACUGCGACUAUCGGCCGUCGGUGUUGCCGCCGUGUUUCCACCGGAUCUAACCAGCUACUCGCAACUGGCGGAGAAUGUCACGACGACCUCUACUAGUACAACGACGACCACCCUUACCCCUCUUCCACACGCAGCCGACGAAGACACGGCCUCGGUUCAGUUCCGUGCCUUACAGUACGCCCUGUUCUCGACCAGCUUUGUGGAAAUCAUUGGCGGUGUGUUCUUCCUCCUGACGGCGAUGUACAUCCUUCGGGACCGGAGAAACGUGGAACGAGCCGUGGCAGGCUGUGAACUAGAACUCAGCGAAAGCUCAUCCGGUUCGGAAAUCCUAGAGCCAAACGCUAUCCCAUCGUCAUCCGCACAUCAUCAACGGCAGCGUAGUAGUGGUCGUCAUCGCCAGCAUCAACGGCGACAGUCGGGCGCCGUUUGUCCAUCGACAUCCUAACAGCAACCGCCAAUAGAAAUCAUUUAAUUGGUAGUGUCAUUUGGAUCCUAAAAGCCGUACAAAAAACCGUGGGAUCCAAAGGCGUACCGUGUUGUUGUUUCGAGCCCUGAACCAAAUGCCACUCACCAAAACCAAAGUUGCGCACUGUCCCAUUGUAGCCAUUUAGAAAGCCAAACUGCCAGGUCGUCCGCGCAACGUUUGGACAAUUCGACAUCCAGUUCCUCCGUCUCCGAUUAGUAAUAGCCGUAGUAGGUUUAGGUAAAGCAAUAUCACACACACAGAUAGGACCACGCCAUGUUUUGGUAGGCCUACGCCACCGUACACCAUCUUCUCCCGCUUUGUUUUUCUCGACCAUUCAUGACAGAGGAAGUGCCACGAUUCUCAGCCCCGCAUCGGGCAUCCACUAUGCCUCUAGUACGGACCAUGGGGUCAUCGGACUAAACCCUUCUCUCAAUACAGAGCUACACGGAGUAUCAAAUAUUACUCUACGAACAAGAAUCACAACAUCCCUACCCUACUUCGCACCCCCGAAGCCAUCGACCGUAUUUGUAAAUAGGAAGAAUCCACUAACGGUUCGCACCCAGACUGAGUUCCCUAAGUCUUUUCAAACUCGUUUUACCAUUACAAGAAAAAGUAACGCGUUAACGGAGCAAGGUGGUCAAUGUUGGGUAGAAACAAAUGAAUGAAAAACACUCAUAAAGGACUGAUACUAAUUUUAGUGUAAAUUUAGCGAAGCAAUUUGAUAACUAAAAAGAAAAGUAAACGGAGAUUUCCUAUUUCCUUUCAUGUAAAUUCUCUCGUCUAAUUUUGGCGUUUGAUUGAGUUUUACCGGCAGCAGUAUGUUAGGGAAGCAAACUAUGAAAAAAGUGAUCUGUGAGAACGUGUCCUUUGAAUGGGUGUUUUUGAUGAUAUAAACAAGCCGAAGCCACUUCUCAUUCGUUCAGAACAUGUCUCCUUUUGCGAAAGAAGAGGAUAACGCGAUAUAUGUAGUUAGAGACUUCUUUUUUUUUUUGGUCUCUGCAGGAAAAGUAUCGACAGAGAACGGCUAUAAUUGUAUAAAAGAAUUGAUUUUGUUUAUUAUCUUUUGAAAAAUGUAUUCUAUCAUAUCUGUUGAAACCGAUUGGAGAUUUUUGAACGUUGAAUAUGUUUCAGGCAUAGGUUAGCAUACAACUAAAUAUUUAUUGAUUAUUUAGGAGUAGACAGAUUGUGGAUAGUCGUAAGCGGUAUUAAUUUUUCCUGUAAAAAGAAUGGAGAUAAGUUAUACAAAAAUAUCACAAAGAUAAAUAGAAAAAUCAGAAACUUUUAUAACUAAGUGA